GACGAACGCUGGCGGCGUGCUUAACACAUGCAAGUCGAACGGAAAGGCCCUGCUUUUGUGGGGUGCUCGAGUGGCGAACGGGUGAGUAACACGUGAGUAACCUGCCCUUGACUUUGGGAUAACUUCAGGAAACUGGGGCUAAUACCGGAUAGGAGCUCCUGCUGCAUGGUGGGGGUUGGAAAGUUUCGGCGGUUGGGGAUGGACUCGCGGCUUAUCAGCUUGUUGGUGGGGUAGUGGCUUACCAAGGCUUUGACGGGUAGCCGGCCUGAGAGGGUGACCGGCCACAUUGGGACUGAGAGACGGCCCAGACUCCUACGGGAGGCAGCAGUGGGGAAUAUUGCACAAGGGGCGGAAGCCUGAUGCAGCAACGCCGCGUGCGGGAUGACGGCCUUCGGGUUGUAAACCGCUUUCGCCUGUGACGAAGCGUGAGGGACGGUAAUGGGUAAAGAAACACCGGCUAACUACGU
rnacentral:rRNA from 1 species